rnacentral:rRNA from 1 species
GAAAGCUAGUUGUAUUAACUAACUGUUAGUGCAAAAACGACUAUGUCGUGUAAAGUUCAGGGUAGAGUUUUGAUAAUGACAUUGUCUACCUGUAAGUCUCGACCAAACUACGUGCCAGCAGUCGCGGCAAUACGUUGGAGACUAGUGUUAUUCGUCUUUAGUAGGUUUAAAGGGUACCUAGACGGUUGUUUCAGCCCCUAAGGGUACUGAUUGUACUAGAGUUUUAUGAGAGGGGGGGUGUACUAAUGGUGUAAAGAUGAAAUUUUGUGAUACCAUUAUGAACAGGCAACAGCGAAGGCAACCCUUUAUGUUAAAACUGACGUUGAAGGACGAAGGCUUGGUACACCAACAGGAUUAGAUACCCUAGCAGUCCAAGCAGACAAUGAUGAAUGUCAUAGAUUGGAAAAUUAAUUUUGUCUAUAAAUGAAAGUGUAAGCAUUCCACCUUAAGAGUAAUGCGGCAACGCAUAAAUUGAAAUCAUUAGACCGUUUCUGAAACCAGUAGUGAAGUAUGUUGUAUAACUAGACAGUCCGCACAACACCUUACCACAAUUUGUAUGUUUAGAGAUAAACACGAGAGUUGCACGGCUGUCUUCAGUUAAUGUCGUGAGAUCUUGGUUAGUUCCAUUUAAUUAACGUAAACCCUUACUUUAUUUUAGUAAAUAGAGUAGUUCCCCACUAUAUUGGAUCUGAUAAAAGGGACUAA